GGUCCUAAGAAGUAAUUUAAGAUCUGACCUGCUCAAUGUAAAUAAAUGGCCGCGGUAUUUUGACCGUGCAAAGGUAGCAUAAUAAUUAGGCUAUUAAUUGUAGUCUUGAAUGAAAGGUUGGACGAGGGAAAUCUUUCUUAUUUAUAUUGUUGAAUUUAAAUUACUAGUAAAAAUGCUGGUAUGAUACAAAAAGACGAGAAGACCCUAUUGAGUUUUAUAUUUAUUUUUUUGACUAUAUUUGGUUGGGGCGAUAAUUUAUAAACAUUUUAUUUUAUUGAUCCAUUAAUAAUGAUUAUAGAAUAAAUUACCAUAGGGAUAACAGCAUAAUUUAAUUGGAAAGUUCUUAUUGAUAAUUAAGUUUGUGACCUCGAUGUUGGAUUAAGAUUCCUUUUGGGUGUAGGUGCUUAAAGAGGUAGACUGUUCGUCUAUUAAAAUCUUACA
rnacentral:rRNA from 1 species